rnacentral:misc_RNA from 1 species
AACGCACCUUGCGCUCCUUGGUAUUCCGAGGAGCAUGCCUGUUUGAGUGUCAUUAAUAUAUAUAUCAAACUUCUCUUUGUUGAGUGGUUUGGAUGUGGGGGUUUUUGCUGGGCCUCUUUAAAAGGGGUUCAGCUCCUCUGAAAUGCAUUAGCAGAACAACCCCUGUUCAUUGGUGUGAUAACUAUCUACGCUAUUGAAUGUGAGGGGCAGUUCAGCUUUCUAACAGUCCUUGGACAAAUUCAUCAUUAAUGUGACCUCAAAUCAGGUAGGACUACCCGCUGAACUUAA